AAAAAAUCCACUGUUACGCAGUUCCUCCAGAGAAAGGGGCAGGCCGGAGCACUGGGGGACCUGGUGGGCAUCACUGAGUGGACACCUGGCGGCAGAGAAGGAAACACAUGGCCCCGUGGAUCGAAGCCUUGGAUCUCACUCCUAGUUCUGCACUCAGUCAUUACUACUGGCAGUACUAGGAGACCAUGUGGGAUGCUGGGAAUUGAACUCAGGUCAUCCGAGUACAAGGAGUGUAACUGCGAGAUCCUCGGAUCCUCCUUGCUCUUUCAGAAGAUCCCCUACUGGAUUCCACGCCGAUAACUUCUGUGACGUGUCCAUAUGUUAAGAGCCUCUUUCACUACUUUUAGACUUGGAAGAGGUACAUCCAUGCUUUUACUUGCACUCACUUUAUGACUUUAACUGCCUGAAAAAUGGGGAGUGGAAAAAAUUUCAGCAUCGGUUGCAAGAUGAAUGUUGAUCUCAGUAGUGGGUGUUUCUUGGUGUCAUGAGACAAACAGGCAUCUGGUGGAGAACUCAAGAACCUUGAAGCACACCGCCAUUGCCCUAAAGGUGGUAGGACACGCAUUGCUACACUUAGUUCUUGAAAAGUCUCAUUCCAAGGAUUUGCACCUCGCUUCCAAGAAAGAUUUGUUGCUCAGGCUUCUCAGCUGCACAAAGACUUGCGAUGGAUGUUGUCUAUGUUUAUAUUAUCCAAAUAUUUUUAUGGCAUUCAGCUGAGUUUGGGCAAUAGAAGACUAGAGAAGAAUUCAAGAACAAAGAGGUUAGAGUAUUAUUCUUCCCUCCCUGCAAGUCACGGAUCCUUUUGGACCACAGCAAGAAUUCUCAUCUCGGGGCUGGAGCUAUAGCACAGCGGGUAGGGCGUUUGCCUUGCAUGACCCAGGUUCAAUUCCCAGCAUUCCAUAUGGUCCCUUGAGCACAGACAGGGGUAAUUCCUUGAGUUAAGAGCCAGGAGUAACCCCUGUGCAUCGCCAGGUGUGACCCAAAAAGCAAAAAAAAA